GAAUGCUUAAUAAAUCAUUAAGAUAAGAGCUGGUGUUAUCUUGUCUGUUAUAUGAAGUUUUAAUUGGUCUUAUGUUGCAUCAAUCUUAUACAACAUAGACGCCGAAGAUCUUUUAAAUAUUUGUGAUUAAAAAUGUAAUUUCAUCUGUAACAUUUUCUCUUAGAUACAUCACCAGAGUAGGCAUUAAAAGUUAAUUUAUAUUACGAACAGAAAAAAGGACCACAACACAAGCUUGGUGACCGCGAAUUAAACAAGAAGUCACAUGAGGAUACUUGUAUGUGAUACUUGAAUGUGGAUGAAGCGAAGUUUGGAGGGAUCGUGGCAAGUAGGAAGACGCGUAGUCCCUGUCUCUCCCUCCAGGAAAGAUUCGUGAUUUCAUGCUAGUUAUGACUGGUUUUCAUACAACUGGCAUCCUGUGGGAGCUGUCUGGAACAACGAAUAUUUAUUUGAAUUUAUUUCUGGCUACGAGGUGCUACAAGCUACGGCGUAGCGUGUCCUCGUAGUGGCUACGAGCUACGAGGUCGCACUACGAUUAUGCUACGCAUUAUUUUUUG